rnacentral:lncRNA from 1 species
AAAGAGGAAGGCUGUGAUCUCAUGCCGUUGAUACAUGUCCUUUUUGUUGCGCAACAAACUCCCACCGCCUGCAGGGUUUACUCAUUCUUUUAUAAUCAGACACACACCAAAAUAUUCCCGCACUCACACUACUGUCUCAUCAAGUCACCCCAAAAUUCCAUAUCAGAAGCCAACCCAUAAAUAUUCGUAUAUAUCGACUCGGUGAUCAAUAUCAAAUCUCAAAAACAAAAAACGUACGUUAAACUCGACUCGAUCCCUUGGGCGAGUGAUACGAUGUCCUAUGCUGUGCCGGUGCCUGCGACCGGGCCGAGCGCUCAGCCGCUGCAGAACCCCGUGACGGUGGUCAGCCCGCAGUUCCAAGCAACCUACCCGGUGGAUCUGGUCAUCACGGAGAAGACGAUGUCGAUCAAGGAAGGUGCUUUCACGGUGUCAGACGUUAAUGGAAAUCUCAUGUUCCAGAUCAAAGGCUCCUUAUUCAGCUUUCAUGAUCGUCGAACUCUGGUCGACAGCGCCGGCACUCCGAUCGUCUCCUUCCGACAAAAGGUAAAUUUUUUUUUUUGAACUAUCGGUGAAUCCCGUUAACAAUAUUCGUUGCUUGAUCUAUUAUUGUUACUGUUACUGCUUAAUUAAGUAGCUUGUAUUGUAAGCUAGAGAUUGCGCUGGUGAGUGGCUACUGAUUAUUCAGUGGUUUCUUAAAGUUCAUCUGUAUAAUAAGAAUUAGAUUCAUUUCCAUGUGUAUAUCAUGUCGCAACAGAAAUGCUAUGAAGGGUCUUGUUGUGGGAUUUUAACAUCCCUUAUGUUUGGGAACUUGUGGAAAAUUAUAUGGUCCGAUAUUCAUAAAUAGUAAUGGCAUCUAGAGAUUUGGAUGAUGCUCUAUUCAUCAAUUGAUCAAUUGUGGAAAAUGCCCUGCUUCCAUUUUUCUGUCUUCAUCUAUGUAUUACUAACUUGGGGAGUCCCAUGUAAAUUAUGACCUGAAUCAAAUCGGUUUGUUGUGCAUUCUCUAUACAUGCACUUCCCUCAACCGUCGAGGACACAAUACAAUCGUGUAUUUUCUGAUAGUUUGUAGAUCUUUGGAAUAGCUGUUUAAAAUAAUAUAAGAGAAUGAAUACUUAGGUUGCACCAAGCUGGAUUUGGUUAAUUUUGACAUCUAUGUAUGUAUAUUCUCAGAUAUUGACGGCACACAGGAGAUGGCAUGUAUUUAGAGGAGAGAGCUCAGACGCCAAAAAUCUACUCUUUAGUGUCAAAAAGUCGUCUCUUUUCCAACUGAAGACAGAAUUAGAUGUGUUCUUGGCUGGUAAUACUAAAGAGCAAUUGUACGAUUUCAAGGUAAAAGGAAGCUGGGGGGAAAGAUCAUGCACCAUAUAUGAUAGAAACAACACUAUCAUUGCACAGGUAAGAACUCAUUAUCCGAUCUUCGUCAAUUCCAUCAUCAUCAUCAUCAUAAGUAGUCUUAAUACACAUUAUAGGAUGACGAAAAAUUAGAAAUGUCUUUUGUAGUAAGGCUGAUUGAUGCUCUUGUUAUAUUGCCAAAUGCAGAUGCACAAGAAAUAUGAUCUUAAAAGUCUUUUCCUUGGGAGAGAUGCGUUUGCGGUGACUGUGUAUCCUCAUGUUGAUUACGCCUUUAUAGUCGCCAUUGUGGUUGUUCUUCAUGAGAUUAACAUGGACAGAAGCGGGCAGGACUGAAGCUGAUGCUGCUUGAGUUGUUAUUUACUUGUAUAAUUAAAACUGUUUAGUUUCCCAUGCUUAUACCACGACUGCGCAAGUGCUUGAUUGUGUGUUCUGGCCAUUUUUUUACAUUGGGAGUGAUAUAGGCAUAGCAAGCCACCUUGUUAUUUUAGCAUAUAUAUUAGUAACACAACCAUUCAGUUCGGAUUAAGAUUCACAAGAUCGAGUAUCACAGCAAAACCAGUGAAAGUGAGGACUCAAACUCUAGCUAGACAUGAGACAACAUCAUUCUCACGUCAUAAAAUCAAUAAUUCAAAGAAUAUAUUCACGUUAUUGCUAGAGAUGCUAACGUUUUUGUAGAUCAGUUUUUGUCAAAUUAGGAAAUCAUUAGAUUCUCUCGCACGCGGUAGAUCACUAGCUCGAUCAAUCACAGUUAUUACCUGCAACGUUAUACACAUUCUUUCCUUCAUCACCACACACGUCAAUUUCAUUUCCUCGGACUUUGGUUUCUCUGCUUGAAAAGGAAAUUGCUUGGAUCUGCUUGGACCUUAAUAAGAGACUACCACGUCACUUUAAAACCAUCCUAAGGCUAAAAUUCAUGCUUCCAAAAAUUGCAGAAUUUCGUAUGCAGCACCAGAUCUCUCUGUAUCAUCCCAUCCCGUUUUUCUUCUUCUCCCAGACAAGUUUCAGAAACCCAGAUCUUAAUUCUCUUUGUUGGAUGUCUGUUUGGCAAUAGGCAAUUUUAAUUUGAAUGGGAACGAACCAGUAAUGCAAUUAGCAGACUCAAAUUAGAUGGUGAUGAUUGAUGAAUAGAUGAAGGCUGGAUCAUGGGCACUACUAGUUCAUAGGCAUAUUCAAUUUAAAAUCAUUUAUCAAUGGAAACGAAAAGAAACCCAAAUCGAAGACAGUUUCAAUUUGGAUCCUCCACCGAACCCGAUUUACAAACCCGAAACCUCCUUCGUCGCUUCCCUGGAGCGCUUCGUCCUCGCUCACGACGAUGAGCGACUGUAUUCACUAUUCAGUUCAAUUUGAUUAUUGUAAUGGUGUGGCAUUCCAUUGACUACUGGAGUACUAGCUGUGGGAGGCUUUGAUGGCUCAAGUCGGAGAGGUUGCUGAAAAAGGCGGUGAGGGGCAUCGGCAGGAGAGAGAGAGAGAUAAGCUAUGUGUGGUUUAUGAGUUUGUGUUUUAGAGACUUUCCACUGCUGACCCUUAGAUCCCUUAUAAAUGACGUGUCAGCAUUGCAGUGAGUCCAAGCAGAGAAGCCAAUUCCCAUUUCCUCCGCUUGCUACUGUUCUCAUCAAGUCGAUCAAAUUAUCCACCUAUAAAUAACAGUAUCCGGCCACUCGGUGAUCGAUCAUACUUGAAAAACAAUCAAAACUGUAGUGUAGAGUAUCUUGAAGGCUCUGAUCGAUACGAUGUCCUUUGCUGUGCCGGUGCCUGCGACUGGGCCGAGCCCGCAGUUCCAAGCAACCUACCCUGUGGAUCUGGUCAUCACGGAGAAGAUGAUGUCGAUCAAGGAAGGUGCUUUCACGGUGUCAGACGUUAAUGGAAAUCUCAUCUUCCAGAUCAAAGGCUCCCUUUUCAGCCUUCAUGAUCGUCGCACUUUGGUCGACACCGCCGGCACUCCUAUCCUCUCCUUCCGACAAAAGGUUAAUUCUUUUACCGUAGUCAAUCCCGUUAGACUGUGUUGAUAAUUUUUCACUGUGCGUGUUAGUGUGUUCAUGUUUAUCUAGGUUUGCCUAUGGGAUGGUACUUAGAUGUAUAUAAUACACUCAUUUUACAGCUAAUUGAACCAAGAUUACAACAUAUCGAUCAGCUAAUUGCUUUGUAAAAGACUAUGGUGGUGAGUGACUACAGCAUAUCGAUCAGUUGUCUCAGAAUUUCAUCGAUGCAACAGUUAAGAUAAUGUUCCAUAUGCCUAGCUAGGUCAAUAAAAUUUAACCCUAAUUGGACUGUAGGGUUUUCGAUCAGUUGCCUAUGGCUUCCCUGUUAUCAUAUCUUUACGUGCAUCGCAGCUCCCUUGGACAGUAGAUGAAACAUUCAGAAUUUUUUUAACAAUAUUGUUGAUGCAGUCGUGUAUUUUCUGUGUAGAUCCUCGGAAUAAUUUUUUGGUUGUGCAUAAACCAAAGAGAAUGAUGACCUUAUAUAAUUGGCCGGGUUGCACCAAGUUUAAUUAAUCAAUUUUGAUGUCUAUUUACAUCAAACGGGUUGCGUUUUCUUCGUCUCAGAUAUUAACAGCACAUAAGAGAUGGCACGUAUUUAGAGGAG